rnacentral:sRNA from 1 species
UCGGACAGAGCACAGGAUGUGCUCCUCUCAGGUCAAGGAUGAUGACCGCGCCAGGAUGGCACCUCGAUAAGGAUAUUGAGUCCGGUCAACAAGAACCCCGCUUCGGCGGGGUUCU